rnacentral:rRNA from 1 species
AUUGAACGCUGGCGGCAGGCUUAACACAUGCAAGUCGAGCGGGGUGAUGGUGCUUGCACUAUCACUUAGCGGCGGACGGGUGAGUAAUGCUUAGGAAUCUGCCUAUUAGUGGGGGACAACAUCUCGAAAGGGAUGCUAAUACCGCAUACGUCCUACGGGAGAAAGCAGGGGAUCACUUGUGACCUUGCGCUAAUAGAUGAGCCUAAGUCGGAUUAGCUAUUUGGUGGGGUAAAGGCCUACCAAGGCGACGAUCUGUAGCGGGUCUGAGAGGAUGAUCGGCCACACUGGGACUGAGACACGGCCCGGAUUCCUACGGGAGGAAGCAGUGGGGAAUAUUGGACAAUGGGGGGAAUCCUGAUCCAGCCAUGCCGCGUGUGUGAAGAAGGCCUUAUGGUUGUAAAGCACUUUAAGCGAGGAGGAGGCUCUUUUGGUUAAUACCCAAGAUGAGUGGACGUUACUCGCAGAAUAAGCACCGGCUAACCCUGUGCCAGCCGCCGCGGUAA